GACGAACGCUGGCGGCGCGCUUAACACAUGCAAGUCGAACGGAAAGGCCUGCUUUCCCUUGUGGAUUGCGGGUACUCGAGUGGCGAACGGGUGAGUAACACGUGAGUGAUCUGCCCCCAACUUGGGUAUAAGCCUGGGAGACUGGGUCUAAUUCCCGAUAGGACUGCAGGGUGGUGCCUGUGGUGGAACACGAUUUUCUAGUGGUUGGGGAUGAGCUCGCGGCCUAUCAGCUUGUGGGUGGGGUAAUGGCCUACCAAGGCGGCGACGGGUAGCCGGCCUGGGAGGGUGGACGGCCACAUUGGGACUGAGAUACGGCCCAGACUCCUACGGGAGGCAGCAGUGGGGAAUAGUGCACAAUGGGCGGAAGCCUGAUGCAGCGACGCCGCGUGGGGGAUGACGGCCUUCGGGUUGUAAACUCCUUUCGACCGCGAGGAAGCCACCUGGUUGGAAGGGUGGUGACGGUAGUGGUAGAAGAAGCACCGGCUAACUACGUG
rnacentral:rRNA from 1 species